AUCCGGUGCUGUUCUUCGUUUUAGUCUUUCCGUUUUUCCUUUAUAAAUUGUUGAUUUAAAUUAGCUUAAUGUGUUGAUAAAUAGUCGUAUACUUCAUGUUAUGCCUUUUAUUUUUUCUUUGGUGUCAGCAUUGACCUGAUCGAUGUCAGAAAGUCAUCGCUAGGUUACACUUUGCUUAUUCUAGUUAUUUUUCAUCCUCUAUUUCACUGUAACAAAUUUUCUUCUUGUGUUUAUACCGUAAGUUUCUAUGAUCGAUAUUCUUGUGAUAACAAAUGAAAUAAUAAACUCAAUUUUCUUCUAA